rnacentral:rRNA from 1 species
GAAUCCUGGCCAAUGGGCGCAAGCCUGAUCCAGCCAUGCCGCGUGAGUGAAGAAGGCCUUAGGGUUGUAAAGCUCUUUCGCCCGCGAAGAUCAUGACGGUAGCGGGAGAAGAAGCCCCGGCUAACUCCGUGCCAGCCGCCGCGGUAAUACGGAGGGGGCUAGCGUUGUCCGGAAUUACUGGGCGUAAAGCGCGCGUAGGCGGCCAUUUAAGUCGGGUGUGAAAGCCCGGGGCUCAACCCCGGAUGCGCAUCCGAGACUGGGUGGCUGGAGUCCGGGAGAGGGCGGCGGAAUUCGCAGUGUAGAGGUGAAAUUCGUAGAUAUUGGGAAGAACACCGGUGGCGAGGGCGGCCGCCUGGCCCGGAACUGACGCUGAGGCGCGAAAGCGUGGGGAGCAAACAGG